rnacentral:rRNA from 1 species
GACGAACGCUGGCGGCGUGCCUAAUACAUGCAAGUAGAACGCUGAAGGAGGAGCUUGCUUCUCUGGAUGAGUUGCGAACGGGUGAGUAACGCGUAGGUAACCUGCCUGGUAGCGGGGGAUAACUAUUGGAAACGACAGCUAAUACCGCAUAAGAGUAGAUGUUGCAUGACAUUUGCUUAAAAGGUGCAAUUGCAUCACUACCAGAUGGACCUGCGUUGUAUUAGCUAGUUGGUGGGGUAACGGCUCACCAAGGCGACGAUACAUAGCCGACCUGAGAGGGUGAUCGGCCACACUGGGACUGAGACACGGCCCAGACUCCUACGGGAGGCAGCAGUAGGGAAUCUUCGGCAAUGGACGGAAGUCUGACCGAGCAACGCCGCGUGAGUGAAGAAGGUUUUCGGAUCGUAAAGCUCUGUUGUAAGAGAAGAACGAGUGUGAGAGUGGAAAGUUCACACUGUGACGGUAUCUUACCAGAAAGGGACGGCUAACUACGUG